rnacentral:rRNA from 1 species
CGUGCGAGCUUACCAUGCAAGUCGAGCGGUAACAGGGGGUGCUUGCACCCCGCUGACGAGCGGCGGACGGGUGAGUAAUGCAUAGGAAUCUGCCCAGUAGUUGGGGAUAGCCCGGGGAAACCCGGAUUAAUACCGAAUACGCCCUACGGGGGAAAGCAGGGGAUCUUCGGACCUUGCGCUAUUGGAUGAGCCUAUGUCGGAUUAGCUAGUUGGUGGGGUAACGGCCUACCAAGGCGACGAUCCGUAGCUGGUCUGAGAGGAUGAUCAGCCACAUCGGGACUGAGACACGGCCCGAACUCCUACGGGAGGCAGCAGUGGGGAAUAUUGGACAAUGGGGGCAACCCUGAUCCAGCCAUGCCGCGUGUGUGAAGAAGGCUUUCGGGUUGUAAAGCACUUUCAGUGAGGAGGAAAACCUUAAGGUUAAUACCCUUGAGGCUUGACGUUACUCACAGAAGAAGCACCGGCUAACUCCGUGCCAGCAGCCGCGGUAAUACGGAGGGUGCAAGCGUUAAUCGGAAUUACUGGGCGUAAAGCGCGCGUAGGUGGUUCGAUAAGCGAGAUGUGAAAGCCCCGGGCUUAACCUGGGAACGGCAUUUCGAACUGUCGGGCUAGAGUGUGGUAGAGGGUAGUGGAAUUUCCUGUGUAGCGGUGAGAUGCGUAGAUAUAGGAAGGAACACCAGUGGCGAAUGCGGCUACCUGGACCAACACUGACACUGAGGUGCGAGAGCGUGGGGAGCAAACGGGAUUAGAUCCCUGGUAGUCCACCGCCGUAAACGAUGUCAACUAGCCGUUGGGGAUCUUGAAUCCUUAGUGGCGCAGCUAACGCACUAAGUUGACCGCCUGGGGAGUACGGCCGCAAGGUUAAAACUCAAAUGAAUUGACGGGGGCCCGCACAAGCGGUGGAGCAUGUGGUUUAAUUCGACGCAACGCGAAGAACCUUACCUGGCCUUGACAUCCUGCGAACUUUCUAGAGAUAGAUUGGUGCCUUCGGGAACGCAGUGACAGGUGCUGCAUGGCCGUCGUCAGCUCGUGUCGUGAGAUGUUGGGUUAAGUCCCGUAACGAGCGCAACCCCUAUCCCUAGUUGCUAGCAGUUCGGCUGAGAACUCUAGGGAGACUGCCGGUGACAAACCGGAGGAAGGUGGGGAUGACGUCAGGUCAUCAUGGCCCUUACGGCCAGGGCUACACACGUGCUACAAUGGCGCGCACAGAGGGCUGCAAACUCGCGAGGGUAAGCCAAUCUCUUAAAACGCGUCGUAGUCCGGAUCGCAGUCUGCAACUCGACUGCGUGAAGUCGGAAUCGCUAGUAAUCGCGAAUCAGAAUGUCGCGGUGAAUACGUUCCCGGGCCUUGUACACACCGCCCGUCACACCAUGGGAGUGGAUUGCACCAGAAGUGGUUAGUCUAACCUUCGGGAGGACGAUCACCACGGUGGUCA